GAAAUGCGAUAAGUAGUGUGAAUUGCAGAAUUCAGUGAAUCAUCGAAUCUUUGAACGCACAUUGCGCUUCCUGGUAUUCCGGGAAGCACGCCCGUUCCAGAAUCAAUAAAAUCUCACCAAGUUUCGAUACUUUCGGGCAUCGCAACAAGGUGGUGUUGGAUCUUUGCUCUGGCAAUUAUCUGAAAUCCAUUGUUCGUGCACCUCAAGCUUUGUCUUUUGGUUGUCAAAGUGCAACAGAUUGAUCUAUUACACUUGGGCAAUCCACUGACUGGUUUCCAUGCGCGUUCCUGCCUCAUUGCACGGAAUUCGAAUCGGAUGAUUCGGGUUUCGAUAACUUGAUCUGGAAUCGGGCGGGAAAACCCGCUGAACUUAA
rnacentral:misc_RNA from 1 species